rnacentral:misc_RNA from 1 species
UAAUGAAGCUCAACUAGAGGAGCAUUUGGAGCACCUACAGGAAACAGGUUAUUCCAUACAUGAGGAGGAAGCCCAACAUAACCUUCGUCUGCAGUGAACUCAAGAACACCCGAGUGGGUUGUCUGCUGCUUUGGGUCAUUAGCCUUUGUCUCAGAUGGACUUUCUUGAUGAAUCACUGAUAAUUGCAAAUAUAUUGGUCCUUUGUCGAAAGCACCUUGAUCAGACAAAUCUGUGAAACAGGAAGUAGGCAAUUUAAUCUUGUCUCCACUACCGUUAAAAGAUACAGCUUCCAGUAUACGAGAAAACAUUAUUCCUCUCCCAACAAAUAAAUUUUCUUGCAUUUGCUCAUCAGCCUUGAGCUGGGCUUCAAUAGCAUCAAGCCUUCGAGAUCUCUGAGCAGCUUCAAUGG